GUGCCGGUAGGCAAAUUGGAAUAGAUGCAAGUCACUUCUCAGGCAUGAGUUUCAUGUUUCAUCACCAACCACUCCCUGAAGCACUUCAUUACAGUGGAUGUAAGUCCUGUUGGAUGGUGGUCAUUGAGGCAGGUUACCAUGUUCUUCUUGGGUAUCAAUAUAAUUUAAGCCUGCUUGAAACACCAAUAUAAUUUAAGCCUGCAGAAUCCCGAAGUGAAAGGUUAAAGGUGACAGUGAAUAAUCCAGCCAGUUAAUGAGCACAGGUCUUGGGUACUCAGCCAAGUACACCCUCUGGACUGGAUGCUUGCUGUGAGUUGACCCUCCUGAAGGAUGCUGUCACGUCAGCUCAGGGACUGCAAUCACAGGGCCAUGAGGGGCUGUUCAUGAAGAUUCCUCAAUGUUUUAAUGAUCAAAGUGAGCAUAAAAAGCAUUGAGCUUGUCUGGGAGCAAAGGCUUGUUGUCACUUAAGUCGUUAGGUUUCAAUUUGUAGGAGGUGAUAGCAUUCAAGUCUUGCUACAGCUGUCGAGCAUCCUCAGUGAUUCACGUUUACUGCUGAAUUUCCACUUUGCUCUUGAACCUCUUGUAUUUUACUUGGUCGCCAGACCUGAAUGCCACUGAUCUGGCCCUCAGCAGAUUGUGGAUCUUGUGGCUUCUGGAUGGGGAAGACUCUGAAUGAUUUUGUGGGGAAACACUCAUCUAUGACUGUUUUUUAGAAAGUCAUGGUGUGUUCAUUCAGAUAACCUGAUGAGUCCUUGAACACGGCCCGUCCACUGACAUAAGCAAUGCCAUAGCCACUUCUCUCCCUUGGUGAAUGCAAACACAAAGUACUCAUUUAGUCAUUGGGGCACCUAUUGUAUAAUGCCGUCAGAGUGACUGCACCUUUCUUAUUUCUAAGCUCUUCUCAGUGGAUGAGCCCUCCAGUGUGUCAUCCUGAGUGCAGCUGUGGUUUCCCUAUUAGUAAUGCAACUCUCCACCUCUUUUACCCCCAUUACAUCAAAAUCAUCGAAGCCUGAGAACAUUAAGCUACCACUCCUAUCUCCCCCGCAACCGAGCAUUUGUAAUGGCCGCAACAUCAUGGUUCCAUGUACUGAUACAGAAUCUUAAGUUCACCGGCUUUACCCAAAUUACUUGAAUAGAAAUAAACAUUCUUCAACCCAUCAGUCCCACCAUGUCAUUAACCUGUCCCUGCCUGUCCUUCCUUUCAAGCUCAAUGGUCGUAACAUUAACCCUUAACGCUUGCUGACGUACUGCUCAGAUUCCCAUCCCAUCCCGCAGCCUCUCUAGGUGGCUUCAAACUUAAAUCACCUCGAGUUUUAUCAGGGCUCAUUGAUGUCACAUUCAAGUAGUGGUUAGCACAAUGCUCUGCAGUGCAGGCGACCUAGGUUCAUUUCCCACCAUUGACCUGUAGGAGUCUGUACGUUCACUCUCUGACUGCACGAGUUCCCUCCCACAUACCGAAUAGUAGGUUAAUUGGUCUUUGUUAAUUUCCUGUGAUAAGACUGGGAUUAAAUUGGGGGAUUACUGAGCUCGAAGGGUCAGAAGGGCCUAUUCCAUGCAGUAUCAAUAAAAUAAAUAAAUGCAUCAAGUUUUGCCUUAAUGGCAAGAACAGUCAUGUCAGGAAUUCAGCUGUCUGGUUCAUGUUUGGAGAAAGGUUGCAAUGAAGAGCGAAUCUAAAUAGUUUUGGUGUAAUCGGAACCAGGCAUCGAUGAGCGGAUGAAUAAUUUCCAUUUGAUGGUACUUGAUGACGCCUCCCAUCACCUGCUGACGAAUGAGAGUGAAUGGACUAGGUCGUAAACAGCCAAGUUAAAUUUAUUGUGAGCAGGAUGCACCUGAGCAAUUUUCCACUUUGGUGGGUGGCUGCUUCUCUUGCUGGAACAGUGUGUCUAGAGAUUCAGCUUAUUUUGGAAGCGCAGUACAGCUGGGAUGAUGACUGAACACACUGCCCUCUGCUGCUCCUUGAUGUCUUGUGGGGUUAACGGAAUGGACUGAAAAUGUGUGUGUGUGUGAGAGAGAGAGAGGGUGGCAAUUGCAGGAAGAAACCAAAACGGAUCAUCUAUUUACCACUUGUGGUCAAACAUAUCUGAAAACCCUUCAGCUAUGCCUUUUGUGUACAAAAGCUGGGCUCCUCCAUUGCUGCAGUUGGAAAAGUUCUCUAGCAGUUUACAGCAGCCAAGUAAUCUACCAGCCUGGAUUCCGGAGUGUGGGAGGCAACCAGAGCACCCGAAAGAAAUCAGUGUGGCCACAGGGAGAACAUGCAAACUUCCACAAAGGUCGAGCCCAAGGUUGCUGGACUCUACCAGUGCUGCACUGUGCUGGCAGCUUCCUUAGGUGCUGAUCUGAUCACUUGAAUUUAGUUGGAGGGGUGAUUUUAACACAUUAUUUGGAAGAGUAGAACAACCAUUAACAGGGUUUCCCUUCCUCUGCCACUGACACAGCCCUCACCCGCACCUCCUCCUUUUCCCAAACAUCCGUGUCACCCCAUCUUCCCACUGCCUCAACAGUCUCUUGCCCUUACCUACGACUCCAUGAACCUCUGCAUCCAACACAUCAUCCUCUGCCAUCUCCAAAGGGCUCCUACCAAGCGUAUAUUUACCUCCCCCGCCCCAUUUUCUGCAGGGAUCGCUCGCUGCAAGAUUCCCGUGUCCAUUCAUUCCUCCUGACAAUUAUUCCUGAAAGUGGACAACCUGCCCAUUCACCUCCAUUCAGAGGCCCCAAGCAGUCCUUCCAGGUGAGGCAACACUUCACCUGUGACUCUGCUGAGAUCAUUUACUGUGUCUGGUGCUCCCAGUGUGGCCUCUUCUGCACCAGUGAGGCUCCUCGUAAACUGCUUCAUCAAGCACCUCUGCUCCAUCCACCAAAAACAGAACGUCCUGCCGGUUCAGCAUUUUAAUUUUGAUUCCUGUUCUCCUUCCUCUUGUGCCACAAUGAGGCCACCCUUGGGAUGGAGGAGCAACACCUUAUAUUCCGUGCGGGUAGCCUCCUACCUGAUGGCGUGAAUAUUGAUUUCUCCUUCUGGUAAAAACAAUACCCUCUCUGCUCCCCCUUCUAAUAUCCCCACUCAGGCUUCUUACCUCUUCUCACUUGCCUAUCACCUCCCUUAGCACCCCUCCUCCUUCCCUUUCUCCUAUGGUCCACUCUCCUAUCUUCACCUAGCUUCACCUAUCAUCCUCUAGCUAUCCUCCUUCCCCCCCCCCCCAAUUUCUUAUUCUAGUAUCUUCCCCCUAGUAGAAGAAUCUCAGCCUGAAACAUCAACAAUUUGUUCAUUUCCAUAGAUGCUGCCUGACCUGCUGAGAUCUUGCAGCAUUUUAUGUGUGUUGUUUUGGAGAUGAAUGAAGAAUUAUUUCCUCUCGGGGUGAAGUGAUAACCCUGUGCUUUUUGGAAUUAUAAAACUAAGGUAGGAACAUGAAAAGUCAGCCAUGAUCCAAAUAAAUUUUGGAACAAAGCCAAGCAGCUUUUUCUUUCUAAUGGGGCAUUGCUACUGAGCAAGAUGGCAGUGUAAGCUGGAUUUAUGUGGGAAAAUUCCCAUUCACUGCCUAAUUAUUGAGUCAGACUGUGUCCGGGAGUACUGACUGCCUCUGAAAUCAGUCCUCACAUCUGCCACAGCUGAAUAAUCUGCCGUCAGGUUUGCUCACACUCCAAGCAGGGCUGAGCAGUUCCAGUUGAUUAAACGCACUGACGCGUUUUAAUAUAUGUUGGCAUCUGGCCAGUGCAAUGACCUUCCAACCUGUGACCUCCAUAAACGAGGAAAAAGUGACUCCUCUGCCAACCGGAAUGUCAAAAUAACAUCUUCACAUUCACAAUUAACACAUUUAUCAUGCUGCUUUCCCCCGCCGAAUCACAUCACCGAAUCGAUAACAGGAACACUGCUUCCAGACAAAGGAGGCCUUAAAACUGCUUCAGGCUGGCAAGAUUGGAAGUUCAGACAUGUAAGGCUGCUGAAGAGGUUGGAUGCAAAGCAGCUCCCUCCUGCUCAAGAGAGCAAAUGCUCAUGGGUUUGCCAGGAACACCUUAAUCAGACGCACAGCUCAGGGCUGAAGAAACUUGGCCUGAGUCUGAUCUGAAAGACCACAAACAGCAGGAUGAUUUUCCAAUACUGUGUAGGCAGCCUCAGCUAUUCAGCUGCAGUCCCUGUUCCUGCCCGUGAUUAUAGCCUGUGUAGUGCAAUCGGCAUCAACGCAAACCCUACCUGUUGCGGUCUACUCAAUCACGUUUAUUAUCUCUGAUGUAAGUUAUGGAAUUUGUUGCUUUGCAGCAGCAGUACCAAGCAAAACAAAAAAAAAAAUUACUACAUUACAAGAAUAAAUAGUGCAAAGGAGGAAUAAUGAGGUAGUGUUUAUGGGUUCAUGGAUUGUUCAGAAAUUUGAGAAAACUCUUCCUAAAUUGUUGAGCCUGGGUCUUCAGGCUCCUGUACCUCCUCACUGAUGCUGGUAAUGCAAAGAGGCCAUGUUCUGGAUGGUCCAGGUCCUUAAUGAUGGCUUUCGCCUAUUUGAAACACUGACUUUUGAACAAGGGUUCCUAGCCUUUUUUAUGCCAUGGACCCCCCACCUGUAACCGAGGGGUUUGUAGACUCCAGGUUUGGAAUCCCUCCUUUUGAAUUGAUGGUAGGGAGGAUUGUGCUUCUGAUGGAGCUCUCUGAGUCUUCAACCUUCUGCAGUGUCUUACGAUCUUGUGCAUUGGAGCCUCCAUACCAGACUAUCUAUGAUGCAACCAGUCGGAAUGCUCUCUGUAGAGAUUUGCAAGUUCUUGGUGACGUACCAAAUCACCUCAAGCUCCUUGUGAAGUAGAACCACUGGUGUGCUUUGUUCAUGAUUGCAUCGUUAUGUUGAGCCCAAGCUAAAUACUCUGAGAUGUUGAUGCCCAGAGACUUCAAGCUGCUCACCCUUUCCACCACUGACCUGUCACUGAGGACUGGUACAUUCUCCCAACUUCCCCUUCCUGAGCUCCACAAUCUUCUCCCUGGUCUUGCUGAUGAUGAAUGCAAGGUUGCUAGUGCAACACCAUUCAACCAGCUGAUCUCCCUUGCUCCUGUACACCUUCUCAUUGCCAUCUGGGAUUCUGCCAAUAACCGAGGUGUCACCAGCAACUUUAUAGGUGCCAAGUCACUGAAGCUGUGCUGAGUGUAGACGGAUUAGAGCAGACAUCCUUGAGCUGUGUCAGCUGUAAUGAGCAACCUAGCAGUCCCUGUUUUUUUUUAAAUCCCAGUUCAGUGUGCAGUCCUCAGCUUCCAAGAGUAGCUGAUCUUUUUUCAGCUUCUUAGCUUAAGAGUGACAUCAGUCAGAAGCACAGACAUGGGCUGAGCCGAGCCCUUUCCUUCACAGUGGGCCAACACACUCAACAUCUUUAACUAAUUCAGCUGUGGUAUUGAGACUGACUAUAUAUACUGAUAAAGUGAUAUCCGUAUGUGUGAGCUGCAAAGCAAGUACCAUUCAGUCCAUGUGGCAGCAGAUCGAAUUGAUUGAAUGAAUGAGUGAAUGAGAAGGGGCUUCACGUCGACCAGUAUUCCCUUGUGUGUUUGUGCACCGUACUCUUUGGCAUUCUUCCCCCCCGACACCUCCUUUCAUCCAGUCCACCGUUCACUCCUCACCUCCAUUGCCCGAUCUACAGCAAAACCUCUGCUCGGAGCCUGCAGGGUCAGGACCUCCAGGCUGGAUAUUCUACAGAGCGGGCACCAUAACAUGUCAGUACUGAAUGGGAUAGUCACCUGUGUUCCCAGUGACCUCGAUGGCAUUUCACAUUGACCCUUGCGGUGAUGAGUUUAGAACCUACAGCUGAGGACGGUCGUACAAAGACAGAGAAUUUCCAUUUUACGUCCUCCUGCCCCUUGACAUCGAUUCAUAACUGAAUAAGCCCUUUGGGCUCUGACACACCCCCACGGGGGCUGAGACUGGCUGGGAUCCUGUUCCACCAUCGGCAUUCCAGCAUUUUGGUUCCACCUUGUGCAGUUAGGUUGGUUCUUUAAUCACGUUCAAGCCCAACACCUCCUUACUUGCCACACCCACAUGUCAGCAAGAGACCAGUAGUGGGAAACUCAUAAACUAGUUGCUUUGUCGAGCACCUCUGCAGCAUCCGCCACAAGUGGGACUUCCUGGGGGGGGGGGGGGGCAAAAAUUUUAAUUUCCAUUCCCAUCCCCAUCCCGACGUGCCAGUCCAUGGCCUCCUUUUGUGCCAAGAUGAGGCCACUCUCAGGGUGGAGGAGCAACACCUUGAUUCAUCCUGGGUAGCUUCCAACCUGAUGGCAUGAGUAUCAAUUUCUCCUUCCAGUAAACAAUUCCACCCCUCCCUCCUCUAUUCCCCACUCUGACCUUUAACUUCUUCUCACCUGCCUAUUACUUCUCCCUGCAUCCCCUCCUCAUUCCCUUUCUCCUAUCAGAUUCUUUCCUCUCCAGCCCUUUGCCUUUCCCACCCACCUGGCUUCACCUAUCACUUUCCAGCUAGCCUCUUACCCCUCUCCCCCACCUUUUUAUUCUGGCAUCUUCCCCCCUUCUCAGUCCUGAAGAAGGGUCUCAGCCCAAAACAUUGACUCUUUUCCACAGAUGCUGCCCAGCCUGCUGAGCUCCUCCAGCAUUUUGUGCGUGUGUUGCUUUGGAUUCCCUGCAUCUGCAGAGUCACUUGUGCUUAAGAAAGUCUCUCCUUGAACUCUGAAACACUUUUGCGGUGGCUGACAGCAGUAUGCUUCAUGUGGGUCAUUGACUGACAGACAAAGUUCAAAGUCACCAUGCACCACCUGAGAUUCACUUCCUUGCUAUCACCGCAAAUACAAAUUUGCAUUAGAAUAAAUGAAAAUCUGCUCACAGCAAAGACGGGAAAAUUAUCAAUGUGCAAGGGGCAUCAAGAUUUGCAGAUACACAAAGAAAAAUAAAUAAAUAGUAAAUAUUGAGAACAAGUCGUGGAGUCCAUAGGUUGUUGAGGUUCAGUGUCAGGGUGAGUGAAGUUUGGUUCAGCAGCCUGAUAGUUGAGGGGUAAUAACUGUUCCUGAACUUGAUGGUGUGAGUCUGAGGCUCCUGCAUCUCCCUCCCGCUGGCAGCUGGCAAAAAGGAGCAUGGGCUGGAUGGUGAGGGUUCUUUCAUGAUGGAUUUCCUGCGACAACACUCCUUGUCGAUGUGCUCAGUGGUGGGGAGGGCUUUACCUGUGAUGGGCUGGGCCGUAUCCACUACUUUUUGUAGCACUUUCCAUUCAAGGACAGUGGUGUCCCCAUACCAGACUGUGAUGCAGCCAGUCAUUAUAUGCUCCACCACACAUCUGUAGAAGUUUGUCAGAGCUUUAGAUGACAAGCCAAAUAUACGGAAACUUCUAAGAAAGUUAAGAGGCAGGAAAGUGGUGACCCAGAUUGCAGCUAGCAGUUUUGAUUAGUUUUCAGAGAAUCAUAGACGGAUGCAGGACAGAAACUGGCUCUUCAGCCCAUUGUGUCUCUGGCAUCCAUUUCCAUUAAAAUAGUGUUAAUCCCACUUCUUAAUUCUCACCACAUUUUUAUCAACUUCCUCCGCUGUCCCAGAUCAGGGGUUCCCAAUCUUUAAUACCAGGGACCAAGGGGUCUGUGGACCCCAAGAUGUGAACCCCUGCCCCAAAUUUACCACAUACCUACCCUCUAAGAACAAUUUAGGGUGGCCAAUUUACACAGCUCUGGGAUGCCGGAGGAAAUGAGCAUGCAGGGGAAACAUACGCGGUCACAGAAAGAGCAAUAAACUCCACACAGACAGUGCCAGCAAGUCUGGUGCUGAGAGGCAGGAGUUCUGAUAACUGCCUCAUUAUCCUGGAGAAUAGGCCCUGCAGACAGCCAUGGAGACCCCUGUAUCACUGACUACAUUGAAACGGGCCAGGUUUGUUGGCCCAACUUCUGUCACUGCUGUGCAAGAUACAGGCGGAGGAAUGCUGACUACCAGAACUGUAACCACAUUAAGUAAUGGGAUUGCUAUGUGCACUUACUCCUCUGUUCUAACUUUCUCUACUCCUUGUGAUACCGAGUCCUGCUGACGCAGAUCUAUACUUUUACAGGCACUCUGCCACCCGGAGAUGGGUCCAGCAGCUCGGACUGAACCCCCCCCCCUAACUCAAUCCACUCCCCUCACCGCAAAAAAAACAAAAAACACAACGCCACGCCAGAUGCAAGCAGCUUGGUAGAGUAACAGCCAUCAACACAGUGUUGUAAUGACAUGGUGAGCAGCAAACUUUGAUCUGAAUCCAGCUUAAUUGUAGUUGUGUCAGGGUGUGUCAAUAUUAGCCUGGCUGGCUAACAGCCCAUCCCUGCUUGCUUUAGUACACAGAGUGUGGCACAGGAGCCCCACCUAUAUACACCAGAGAGGUUUCUUGUCCCGAAGAACAUGAGUGACCCAAUUCUGUUUCCAUGGUACCUGCAGCUUCCUCUGGGCUUGCCCUGACAAGGUUCCAUGGUGUUUCUCUGUCUUGUGGGUGGCCUGCAGGAAGAUGAACCUCAGAGCUCCAUUCUGAAUCACAAGCAAGAGAAAAUCUGCAGAUGCUGGAAAUCCAAAGCAACACACACAAAGUGCUGGAGGAACUCAGCAGGCCAGGCAGCAUCUAUGGAAAAGAAUACAGUCCACAUUUCGGGCCGAGAUUCUUCAACAGGACUGUAUUCUGUAUACAGACUUCGAUAAUAAAUGUACUUUGCAUCUUUGAAUAUCCAUGAUGGUGGGGAGGGUUGUGCCCAUGUUGGAUCUGGGUGAGUCUACAACCCUCUACAGUACUUUGUGAUCCUGUGUCUCUGGAGGCUUCACAGUGAUGCAACCGGACAGAACGCUCUCCAGCUUACAUCUAUAGAAAUCUGUAAGACUUUCUGGUGAGGUACCAAAUCUCUUUAGGCUCCUAAUGAAGGCUGCUGGACAUGUGGGCUGAAGAACCUGUUUCAGACUCUGUGUGUGACUCUUAUGAUUCUAUAAAUUCAAAAUAAACAUGAGAUGCAAGAAUUUUAAACCAAAAAAACUUAAGCUAUUCAAAAUGAACGAUCAUUUAUUAACUCAAUAAUACAUGUGUACAAUGUCCUGUGUAUGUUACUCAAAAUGGGUUUUUUGGUUUGUUAAGAGUAGGAAUGCUUCUUUGAUAAGUGUUUCUCUCGCAGUUUUUUUGCUUUAUACUUGUUGAUAUGGUAAUUGUAUUCAUUUGUUAACCAAUGGGGAAUGUUAUUUUGUCUUGUGAGGCUGGGAACUUGGGGGAGGGGUUUUUCACGGGCUUUUGGGAGAGAUCUGGGAGGAAGACGUCGAGGAAGGUGGACGUGUGCUGCACUGCUCGGAAGAUCCCCGGGCGUGUUCCUAGGUGCGAAGACGUGGAGGUCGGAGGCAAGUGACGAGGGGUCGAAUGGUUCGAUGGUUGAGCUCCAACGAUGUGCACUAAACUGACUGAACUUUGAUAAGAUGGCGCCUUUUUGUUUUUUUCCCUUGUAUAUAUAUUGUAUUGCCUAAUACUCUUUUAAUUUUAGUAAACUCUUGGAAGUGUAUUUCAUAA